ensembl:lncRNA
GUUUGAGCCCUUGGAAACCAUACCGGAUAAAAUCCUGAGCUUGAAGACAGUUCUUCUUAUGGCUUUAUCCUCCCUCAAGAGAGUUGGGGAUUUACAGGCUCUUUCUGUUUCGCCGUCGUGCAUGGACUUUGCACCGGGCUCUGUGAAGGUAUUGCUGCGACCGAGGCCUAAUUAUGUCCCUAAGGUCGAUUCGAACCCCUUUCGUUUUCAGCAGGUGGUCUUGGAGGCUUUACCCCCUGCUGAGACAGGAUCAGGAGAUCUAAGUCUUUGCCCUGUCAGAGCGCUCAAGACUUAUGUCGAUCGAACAGCCCCAUGGCGUGAGUCCGACCAGCUGUUUGUCUGUUUUGGACACAAGAAUAGAGGCCAUGCUGUCACGAAGCAACGCAUGUCCCAUUGGUUGGUGGAGGCAAUAUCUUUAGCCUAUGAGGCGUGCGGUCUUGCUUCGCCUCUAGGAGUUAGAGCUCAUUCCACUAGAGCAGUUGCUUCUUCUCAGGCUGUCCUCAGUGGAUCUUCUAUGACUGAUAUCUGUGCUGCGGCAGGAUGGUCCUCACCGAACACUUUUAUCAAGUUUUACAGUCUGGAUGUAAGGACGGCUCCUGGCUCCCGGGUUCUCUCCGCUUGAGCAGAUGCUUCCUUGGAUCCCAGCUAUCAGAAAAGCCUGACAUCACCACCCAUUUUUACAGUAAACCAGAACUCAUAAUUACCGUCUGUAAUCUGGGAAUUUUCUGAGAGCUUCUACUUUUAUCACGUGACUCUACGCACAGUCCCCGGUCCAAGGACAUGAACAGCUCUAAGUAGAACAUGGAUGCAGCUGACGAGACAGACUCCAGUAAGAGUCCUCAGCGUUGAUCAGGCAAGUCCACAUCUAACCCAUCUAGAGUGGGAAUCUUCUUGGAAGAAAACUUUGUAAUGGAUGAAUCGACCAAUCUCAGGCCUUCUAUGUCCACUUUUUCAGACUGAUUUAUGCCCUCCACCUGGACUAAGUGUUUGAAAAGCACUUUAUAUUUUAUUCAGCAGAGUACUAUCAUCUCUACAGUUUUGAGCGUGUUCAGCUCCAGGUUGUUAAGACUGCACCAGACAGCCAGCUGCUCAACCUCUUGUCGGUGAGCAGACUCAUCUCCGUCCUGGAUGAGGCCGAUGAGUGUGGCGUCAUCUGCAACUUCAGGAGUUUGACAGAGGGGUCAGUAGAGGUGCAUUCAUUUGUGUAGUGGCAG